rnacentral:rRNA from 1 species
ACGAAGGGGGCUAGCGUUGCUCGGAAUUACUGGGCGUAAAGCGCACGUAGGCGGCUUUCUAAGUCGGGGGUGAAAUCCUGGAGCUCAACUCCAGAACUGCCUUCGAUACUGGAAAGCUCGAGUCCGGGAGAGGUGAGUGGAACUGCGAGUGUAGAGGUGAAAUUCGUAGAUAUUCGCAAGACCACCAGUGGCGAAGGCGGCUUGCCAGAACGCGCUCGACGGUGAGGGAUGAAAGCUGGGGGAGCAAACCGGA